ensembl:lncRNA TNS2-AS1 TNS2 antisense RNA 1
GAGUCGUGCCACCCUGGAGCAGAAGGUGGAGGGUAGGGAUAAGGGGGUGGAGCACCUGAUUCCAAUCUUGCCACAGGGAAGAAGAGUCUGUGAAGAACAUUCCUUAGGGUCUUUGGCUGGGCUCUGGGAUGGAUGCCAUGGGAGUACCUUUACUUAAGCUCUAAAGUUACCAAUGGAGAGACUGGGACUCAAAGAGGAACUUGAUUGGACCCCAGAGAGACCUCAUUAUUGCACAGCUGAGAGUGGCUUGAAACAAAGGCUUGGAGAAUGUGAGUGAAACUGAUUCCUGUGGUGGAGAGGCAGUGAAAAAGCAUUACCUUGUAGGUUUCCAGGCAGCCUGGACAAUAGGGGCACCUAAACCCACAUUGAAAAGCCUUCACAUCAUCACAGCUGAGUCUCAUAGCCUUCAACUUUACCAGUUUUGGAGAACAGAGAUAAAUGCACUGGCCAGAAACUAGAAGAGCAGCUGCUCCAAUUGGCUGGGAAAUCAUUUAACUGGCUCCUCAUCUUGGCUCUUAAAUCCCCAAAAUUGUUGACUGAGGUUUCCCGGGCUCCUUUCUAUGCUCCACCUCCUUGUGACCUUAAGGAUUCUCUGCCACUGUCCUAACCCCUUUCCCGCCUUGCAACAAUGACCAGUCUGUCCCUAGCUGUUUGGAAAAUUC